rnacentral:rRNA from 1 species
AGAGUUUGAUCCUGGCUCAGAACGUACGCUGGCGGCACGCCUAACACAUGCAAGUCGAACGAAGUAGCAAUACUUAGUGGCAGACGGGUGAGUAACAUGUAGGUAUCUGCCCUUUGGCCUGGAAUAACACGAGGAAACUUGUGCUAAUACCGGAUAAGUCUUCACGGAGAAAGCUUUAUGCACCAUUGGAUGAGCCUGCACUUGAUUAGUUUGUUGGUGGGGUAAUGGCCUACCAAGACUAUGAUCAAUAGCUGAUUUGAGAGGAUGAUCAGCCACAUUGGGACUGAGACACGGCCCAAACUCCUACGGGAGGCAGCAGUGGGGAAUCUUGCACAAUGGAGGAAACUCUGAUGCAGCGAUGCCGCGUGAGUGAAGAAGGCCCUUGGGUUGUAAAGCUCUUUCGUCGGGGAAGAAAAUGACUGUACCCGAAUAAGAAGGUCCGGCUAACUUCGUGCCAGCAGCCGCGGUAAUACGAAGGGACCUAGCGUAGUUCGGAAUUACUGGGCUUAAAGAGUUCGUAGGUGGUUGAAAAAGUUGGUGGUGAAAUCCCAGAGCUUAACUCUGGAACUGCCAUCAAAACUUUUCA